UACGAAGGGGGCUAGCGUUGCUCGGAAUGACUGGGCGUAAAGGGCGCGUAGGCGGAUGGCACAGUCAGAUGUGAAAUUCCUGGGCUUAACCUGGGGGCUGCAUUUGAUACGUGUGAUCUAGAGUGAGGAAGAGGGUUGUGGAAUUCCCAGUGUAGAGGUGAAAUUCGUAGAUAUUGGGAAGAACACCAGUGGCGAAGGCGGCUCACUGGCCCGUAACUGACGCUGAGGUGCGAAAGGCGUGG
rnacentral:rRNA from 1 species